rnacentral:lncRNA from 10 species
CAAACCUUUAGCUAGGCAUAAAAUUUCUCCAAGUCCCCACCUAACUCAAGAACCCAGCUGACUUCGCCUAGUGAAUCGCCCCGGAGGGGCCGCGGGCGGAGCUGUCCGGCAGUCCCGCGGCGCGCGCCCGAGCUCUUCAGCCCUAUGGGACUGGGCGCGCGGAGCAGCGCCCGUCGGGGAGGCUCUGGCCGAACGGGAGCCCACGGCGGGAGCAUGAGGGGGGCUCAGGCAUGGCGGGCUGCCGGUCCUGAGCCCUGACCCUGCGGGGAGGCGGCUGAGGCAGGGCGACAAUUCCAGCGCGGUGUGGGCGGACCAGCAGUGCUGGGGGACCCGGCGCACCCUCCGCAGCUGCUGGCCCGGGUGCUAAGCCUCUUAAUUCCCCGGGCCGGGGACGCGGGCUGGCCGGCCGCUCCGAGUGCGGGGCACGCCGAACCCGCGCCCACCUGGAAGUUGCACUGGCCCGCGAGCGCCGCGCGCAGCCCCGGUUCCCGCCCGCGCCUCUGUCUCCACACCUCCCCGCAAGCAGAGGGAGCUGGCUCCGGCCUUGGCCAGCCCAGAGAAGGUCUCCCACACGUUGCAGCAGCGGGCUGAAGGGCUCCUGAAGCGCGGCCAGAGUGGACGCCGAGGCCAAGGAGGAGCCGAGAGCUAGCAAGGGCUGCUAGCACAUUGUCACCUCUCAGUAUGGGGUUUCACGGGAUCUUCUGGUCAGUGAUUGCCCUCCUUGUACCGUGCCCUGCCAUCCUUUCUCUGUGACACUGACAUACCAACUGAAUCACUCCUUGGUCAUGUGCAAUUCAGGGCUGUUCCUAAAAAUGGAAUUUCUCAGUUGGUUAAUUCCACAGAUGAAGAAUGCGCAAACAUCAAAGGCCAACUGU